CAGAUAUGUCUCUGAACUAAAAGAAUGUAUCAUCUUAGGGACAAGAGGACUGGGUUUUAAUGAACCUUUCUAAGAAUGGCAGGUUCCCAGUCCAACCAGGAAGAGUUGUCAAAAGUGGAAACAACUGGCAGGAGAGGAGAAUCCUUGAAGGAGAACUAGGAUUACAGUUACUGUUCUUUAAGCUUAAAAUGAGCUUCAAUCAAGAGGAAGAAGGAAAAUUGCUUAAGUCAGAC
rnacentral:lncRNA from 1 species